AGCAGCCGCGGUAAUUCCAGCUCCAAUAGCGUAUAUUAAAGUUGUUGCAGUUAAAAAGCUCGUAGUUGAAUUUUAGGCCUGGCCAGGCGGUCCGUCUUUGGCGAGUACUGUCUUGUUGUCGGGUCUUCCUUCUGGUGAACCAGUAUGUCCUUUAUUGGGUGUGUUGGGGAGCCAGGACCAUUACCUUGAAAAAUUAGAGUGUUUAAAGCGGGCUAUUGCUUGAAUAGAUUAGCAUGGAAUAAUAGAAUAGGACGUUGUGGUUCUAUUUUGUUGGUUUCUAGGACCACCGUAAUGAUUAAUAGGGAUAGUUGGGGGCAUUAGUAUUCAAUUGUCAGAGGUGAAAUUCUUGGAUUUAUUGAAGACUAACUAUUGCGAAAGCAUUUGCCAAGGAUGUUUUCAUUAAUCAAGAACGAAAGUUAGGGGAUCGAAGACGAUCAGAUACCGUCGUAGUCUUGACCGUAAACUAUGCCGACUAGGAA
rnacentral:rRNA from 1 species